CGAGUCGUUGAUUUCACACUGCCGAGAAAAGCCUCUAGAUAGAAAAUAGGUGCCCGUACCGCAAACCGACACAGGUAGUCAAGAUGAGAAUUCUAAGGUGAGCGAGCGAACUCUCGUUAAGGAACUCGGCAAAAUGACCCCGUAACUUCGGGAGAAGGGGUGCUCUUUAGGGUUAACGCCCAGAAGAGCCGCAGUGAAUAGGCCCAAGCGACUGUUUAUCAAAAACACAGGUCUCUGCUAAACCGUAAGGUGAUGUAUAGGGGCUGACGCCUGCCCGGUGCUGGAAGGUUAAGAGGAGUGGUUAGCUUCUGCGAAGCUACGAAUCGAAGCCCCAGUAAACGGCGGCCGUAACUAUAACGGUCCUAAGGUAGCGAAAUUCCUUGUCGGGUAAGUUCCGACCCGCACGAAAGGCGUAACGAUUUGGGCACUGUCUCAACGAGAGACUCGGUGAAAUCAUAGUACCUGUGAAGAUGCAGGUUACCCGCGACAGGACGGAAAGACCCCGUGGAGCUUUACUGUAGCCUGAUAUUGAAAUUCGGCACAGCUUGUACAGGAUAGGUAGGAGCCUUUGAAACGUGAGCGCUAGCUUACGUGGAGGCGCUGGUGGGAUACUACCCUAGCUGUGUUGGCUUUCUAACCCGCACCACUUAUCGUGGUGGGAGACAGUGUCAGGCGGGCAGUUUGACUGGGGCGGUCGCCUCCUAAAAGGUAACGGAGGCGCUCAAAGGUUCCCUCAGAAUGGUUGGAAAUCAUUCAUAGAGUGUAAAGGCAUAAGGGAGCUUGACUGCGAGACCUACAAGUCGAGCAGGGUCGAAAGACGGACUUAGUGAUCCGGUGGUUCCGCAUGGAAGGGCCAUCGCUCAACGGAUAAAAGCUACCCCGGGGAUAACAGGCUUAUCUCCCCCAAGAGUUCACAUCGACGGGGAGGUUUGGCACCUCGAUGUCGGCUCAUCGCAUCCUGGGGCUGUAGUCGGUCCCAAGGGUUGGGCUGUUCGCCCAUUAAAGCGGUACGCGAGCUGGGUUCAGAACGUCGUGAGACAGUUCGGUCCCUAUCCGUCGUGGGCGUAGGAAAUUUGAGAGGAGCUGUCCUUAGUACGAGAGGACCGGGAUGGACAUACCUCUGGUGUACCAGUUGUCGUGCCAACGGCAUAGCUGGGUAGCUAUGUGUGGACGGGAUAAGUGCUGAAAGCAUCUAAGCAUGAAGCCCCCCUCAAGAUGAGAUUUCCCAACUUCGGUUAUAAGAUCCCUCAAAGAUGAUGAGGUUAAUAGGUUCGAGGUGGAAGCAUGGUGACAUGUGGAGCUGACGAAUACUAAUCGAUCGAAGACUUAAUCAAAA
rnacentral:rRNA from 1 species